GAUGAACGCUAGCUACAGGCUUAACACAUGCAAGUCGCGGGGCAGCAUGGGGGUUGCUUGCAACCCCUGAUGGCGACCGGCGCACGGGUGAGUAACGCGUAUCCAACCUGCCCUUCACCACGGGAUAACCCGGCGAAAGUCGGACUAAUACCGUAUGUUGUCCAUUGACGGCAUCCGAUUUGGACGAAAGGCUUAGCGGUGAGGGAUGGGGAUGCGUCCGAUUAGCUUGACGGCGGGGUAACGGCCCACCGUGGCAACGAUCGGUAGGGGUUCUGAGAGGAAGGUCCCCCACACUGGAACUGAGACACGGUCCAGACUCCUACGGGAGGCAGCAGUGAGGAAUAUUGGUCAAUGGGCGGAAGCCUGAACCAGCCAAGUAGCGUGCAGGAUGACGGCCCUAUGGGUUGUAAACUGCUUUUAUGCGGGGAUAAAGGGCCCACGUGUGGGUUUUUGCAGGUACCGC
rnacentral:rRNA from 1 species